GACGAACGCUGGCGGCGUGCUUAACACAUGCAAGUCGAACGGUAAGGCCCUUCGGGGUACACGAGUGGCGAACGGGUGAGUAACACGUGGGUGAUCUGCCCUGCACUUCGGGAUAAGCCUGGGAAACUGGGUCUAAUACCGGAUAGGACCACUGCCUGCAUGGGUGGUGGUGGAAAGCUUUUGUGGUGUGGGAUGGGUCCGCGGCCUAUCAGCUUGUUGGUGGGGUGAUGGCCUACCAAGGCGACGACGGGGAGCCGGCCUGAGAGGGUGACCGGCCACACUGGGACUGAGAUACGGCCCAGACUCCUACGGGAGGCAGCAGUGGGGAAUAUUGCACAAUGGGCGCAAGCCUGAUGCAGCGACGCCGCGUGAGGGAUGACGGCCUUCGGGUUGUAAACCUCUUUCAGCACCGACGAAGCGCAAGUGACGGUAGGUGCAGAAGAAGGACCGGCCAACUACGUGCCAGCCGCCGCUGUAA
rnacentral:rRNA from 1 species